CGACCGGCGCACGGGUGAGUAACGCGUAUCCAACCUGCCCACCACUUGGGGAUAACCUUGCGAAAGUAAGACUAAUACCCAAUGAUAUCUCUAGAAGACAUCUGAAAGAGAUUAAAGAUUUAUCGGUGAUGGAUGGGGAUGCGUCUGAUUAGCUUGUUGGCGGGGUAACGGCCCACCAAGGCGACGAUCAGUAGGGGUUCUGAGAGGAAGGUCCCCCACAUUGGAACUGAGACACGGUCCAA
rnacentral:rRNA from 1 species